UACGUAGGCACCAAGCGUUGUCCGGAUUUAUUGGGCGUAAAGAGCUCGUAGGCGGUUCGGUAAGUCGGGUGUGAAAACUCUGGGCUCAACCCAGAGAGGCCACCCGAUACUGCCGUGACUGGAGUGCGGUAGGGGAGUGGGGAAUUCCUGGUGUAGCGGUGAAAUGCGCAGAUAUCAGGAGGAACACCGGUGGCGAAGGCGGCUUUCUGGGUCUUACCUGACGCUGAGGAACGAAAGCCAGGGGAGCGAACAGG
rnacentral:rRNA from 1 species